rnacentral:misc_RNA from 1 species
CCACAAAACCUUAAUCAUAGGGAUCUACUUUGACCUUAACUGCCUCAUCUGAUAGUUCACUAUGGCCACAAGCUGUUUCUCAAAGGUUAAGUUUUCAUUCAAUUCCACUAUAUCAGGUUGUAGCACGUGGAAAGGAUUAGGAAUGUACUUCCUAAGCAUGGAGAUAUGGAACACUAGGUGGAUAUAUGAAAUGCUUGGUGGUAACUCUAGCCGGUAGGUAACUAGUCCCACCCUGUUUGUGAUCUAAAAAGGCCCUAUAUAUCAGGGUGUCAGCUUGUCAUUCUUUUCAAAUCUCAUAACUCCCUUCAUAGGGGAGACCUUCAGAAAUACAUAGUUACCCACUGCAAACUCUACAUCUUUUUGCCUAGGAUCUGUGUAGCUCUUCUGCCUGCUGAAAGCUGUUUUCAAUCGCUCCCUAAUUAAAGGGACCAUCUAUGAAGUGUACUGCACCAAGUCUACAUCAUGUACCUUUGCCUUUCUAACUUCUGUCCAAUACAGAGGGGACCUACACUUCUUGCCAUAUAGUGCCUCACAAGGACACACAUACAAAGCAUAUCCUCCAGUGUCUGAGGGUGAAAGGCUGCACUAAAGUU